rnacentral:rRNA from 1 species
CCUACGGGGCGCAGCACGCCAGGCUUCCCUGUCCUUCACUAUCUCCUGGAGUUUGCUCAAACUCAGGUCCACUGAAUGCCAUCCAUCCAGCGCAUCCUCUGUCAUCCCCUUCUCCUCCUGCGGGGUUCUCCAAAUUUUGCUACUAGCCUCAUCACCAUCAUCCUCUUUUGGGAACCUGUUCAACGUGCACAGUCUUGGGCCCCACUCUGAAUCGACUGAAUCAAAUACUCUGUUGUUGCUGUUGUUCAGCCGCUAAGUCACGUCCGACUCUGUGACCCCAUGGACUGCAGCCAGGCUCCUCUGUCCUCCACUGUCUCCCUGAGUUUGCCCAAAUUCAUGUCCAUUGAGUAGGUGAUGCUUUCUAACCAUCUCAUCCUCUGCUGCACCCCGUAGG